AUGUAACCGGACCGUUCCUUUGCCGUAAAACGCACUGGAUUGGAAAGGGAGAUAUCAUACACCCUAUGUUUAUUUACUUUUGUUGCUUUGGUGGGCCGUCCUUUACGGCGUCGGCCUCGGCUGAUCGCGCCCGCCAGAGGACCCAAACUCUUUUAUUAGUGAUGUCUGAGUACUAUAUAAUAGUUA
rnacentral:misc_RNA from 1 species